rnacentral:rRNA from 1 species
GACGAACGCUGGCGGCGUGCUUAACACAUGCAAGUCGAACGGAAAGGCCCUGCUUUUGUGGGGUGCUCGAGUGGCGAACGGGUGAGUAACACGUGAGUAACCUGCCCUUGACUUUGGGAUAACUUCAGGAAACUGGGGCUAAUACCGGAUAGGAGCUCCUGCUGCAUGGUGGGGGUUGGAAAGUUUCGGCGGUUGGGGAUGGACUCGCGGCUUAUCAGCUUGUUGGUGGGGUAGUGGCUUACCAAGGCUUUGACGGGUAGCCGGCCUGAGAGGGUGACCGGCGACAUUGGGACUGAGAUACGGCCCAGACGCCUACGGGAGGCAGCAGGGGGGAAUAUGGCAGAAUGGGCGGAAGCCAGAUGCAGCAACGCCGCGUGCGGGAUGACGGCCUUCGGGUUGUAAACCACUUUCGCCGGUGACGAAGCGUGAGUGACGGUAAUGGGUAAAGAAGCACCGGCUAACUACGUG